GUCAGGAACCUCUGCCUCAAGGCGGGGGCUUGCUUCAGCAAGCCUGAACCUGACCAGUCUCAGCCAGGGCAGACUUGAUGGAUAGAAUCAUCAAGGCAAUCGGGCUACGUUAAAUAGGUACGUUGGAGUGCAUGCCGGCCCCAACCGCUACG
rnacentral:sRNA from 21 species